rnacentral:tRNA from 1 species
GGAUAUGGCUCAGUUGGUAGAGUGCUUGCCCAGCAUGCUCAAGUACCUGCCUGGGUUCAAUCCCCAGCACCA